UAAGGAAUUGUUCGCAAUGGGCGCAAGCCUGACGACGCAACGCCGCGUGGAGGACGAAGAUCUUAGGGUUGUAAACUCCUGUCGAGCGGGAAGAACAGCGUGGUGGUUAAUAGCCUUCGCGCCUGACGGUACCGCUAAAGGAAGCCCCGGCUAACUCCGUGCCAGCAGCCGCGGUAAUACGGGGGGGGCAAGCGUUGUUCGGAAUUACUGGGCGUAAAGGGCUCGCAGGCGGCCAGCCAAGUCGGACGUGAAAUCCCCGGGCUCAACCCGGGAACUGCGUUCGAUACUGGUUGGCUUGAAUCCGGGAGAGGGAUGCGGAAUUCCAGGUGUAGCGGUGAAAUGCGUAGAUAUCUGGAGGAACACCGGUGGCGAAGGCGGCAUCCUGGACCGGUAUUGACGCUGAGGAGCGAAAGCUAGGGGAGCAAACGGG
rnacentral:rRNA from 1 species